AUACGGAGGAUCCGAGCGUUAUCCGGAUUUAUUGGGUUUAAAGGGUGCGCAGGCGGCCAUUUAAGUCAGCGGUUAAAUCGUGGGGCUCAACCCCAUUCUGCCGUUGAUACUGGGUGGCUUGAUUGCGGUCGAGGUUGGCGGAAUUCGUUGUGUAGCGGUGAAAUGCAUAGAUAUGACGAAGAACACCGAUUGCGUAGGCAGCUGACCAGACCGCAAAUGACGCUCAUGCGCGAAAGUGCGGGGAUCGAACAGGAUUAGAUACCCUGGUAGUCCGCACAGUAAACGAUGAAUACUUGUUUUCGGCGAUAUAAUGUCGGAGGCAAAGCGAAAGCGAUAAGUAUUCCACCUGGGGAGUACGCCGGCAACGGUGAAACUCAAAGGAAUUGGCGGGG
rnacentral:rRNA from 1 species